GUCUGAUAUCAGUGUGUGAGUCUCUUCUCUCUUUCUCUGCUGGAGUUUGUGUUUAUUUGAGUGUGACGGAGGUUUUUGUUCGACGCUUUCACUAGAAUGAAGCACUGUGGUACACUUUUGGUGGAGGAACUAAACUGACCAUCGCUGGUCCCGCAGUGAAGCCCUCCGUGUCUCUGCUGCCUCCCUCUUCUCUGCAGAUCUCUGGAGACUCAGCCGCACUGCUCUGUCUGCUCAGCUCUUACUCUCCACAGGGGGCGCAGGUGAGCUGGACACUGGACGGGUCAGAGGUCACCGAGGGGGUUCAGACCAGCGCAGAGAGCGAGCGGGACGGACGCUACAGCCGCAGCAGCGUCCUGAGCCUCAGCAAAGCACGCUGGGAAGCCGGCGAGCGCUUCGUCUGCAGAGUAACACAUGACGGAGCUGAUCACGAGACCUCGUUCCUCAAGAGCUCCGAGUGCUGAUGUUUCUCCAGUGAAGAGCAGCAGGAUUCACAGCAGUCUCCUGAUUUACAGCUCAAUACUCAAGCAGUCUUUCAAUGUGCUGCCAUUGCUGUUCAUUCAAUAAAGCUUCUGAACGCCUUA